rnacentral:rRNA from 1 species
CAAAGAUUAAGCCAUGCAUGUCUCAGUGCAAGCCGAAUUAAGGUGAAACCGCGAAAGGCUCAUUAAAUCAGCUAUGGUUCCUUAGAUGGUACUUACGGUUACUUGGAUAACUGUGGCAAUUCUAGAGCUAAUACAUGCAAAUUGAGUUCCGACCGCUCAAAAGGCGGAAGGGAUGCUUUUAUUAGAUCAAAACCAAUCGGGCUCUCCAAGAAGAGUCCGUCACGGCUUGGUGACUCUGAAUAACUUUGAGCUGAUCGCACGGUCUCGCACCGGCGACGCAUCUUUCAAAUGUCUGACUUAUCAACUUUCGAUGGUAGGCUCUGCGCCUACCAUGGUCGUAACGGGUAACGGGGAAUCAGGGUUCGAUUCCGGAGAGGGAGCCUGAGAAACGGCUACCACAUCCAAGGAAGGCAGCAGGCGCGCAAAUUACCCACUCCCGGCACGGGGAGGUAGUGACGAAAAAUAACGAUGCAGAACUCUAUCCGAGGCUCUGCAAUCGGAAUGAGCACACUCUAAAUCAUUUAACGAGUAUCCAUUGGAGGGCAAGUCUGG